AUGUCUUCUAAACAGUCCUUAGAUCAGAUUAGAAAUAGGAAAGAAACCAUCUCCGGGGUGCAGCUGACGCUUGAAGGCGAUGUGGUGUCGGUUUGCAGCUGCCGUGUCACGGCAAGAAAGGAAAAAAAAAAAAAGCCUCUUUGGAAAACAGCAAGAAAACAAACAAACAACAAAAAAAAGCCUGUUCACAAAACUUUCUGUGAGGUGAUCGCUGAAAAAACACACAACUGGGAUGAGUUUGGGCCCCCAGGGCUUCGUUUUUGCCACGUGCACUUGUUUUUCCGCCCUUCAUCUCGCACGCUUUCUGAUUUUACGAAGGAAACGUGCACCCUGGGGCUGGAUGAAGAGGAGGGAAGGUGUCCCGCCUCGUGGCAUCCAUCCCGUGGGUGUUCCUGCUUGCAUAAAUCUCCUGGUUUCAGGUCCACACCUGCACUAAACACAUCCGUGCCCCGAUUGCCUUACGGAAAUUCGUUACCAGCUGCCUCACCCGCGGCGUCUUUUAACAGGAAAUCACGUAAAACGAAAGGAAUCGAGCCUUUUUUUUUUUUUUCCCUAUAUAAUUUGAAAGCUCCAAUGUGCGGAGGCUUCUGCUGGAAAUGCCAGCAGGAGAAACUCCCUUUGUUCCUGUCUAGACGUUUGACUGGGAAGUCUAUAAUGCAGUCCUCAGGAAGCUGGUGGCUCGCUCGAGAGAGGAGGGCUCAUUGGUAUGCUUCACAGCGCUGCAAGGAAGGAUUCUCGGUGUCAAUGGCCACAAGUUUGCUUUCAGAGGGCCAGAAACAGCUGGAAGCUUUCCGAGGUGAAGACAAGGCGAAUGGUGCGCUUUGAUCAGCAACACCUAUUUUCAGAUCUGCAAGUGCUAUUAUUUCCACCUAACUACAGAAAAAAAAAAAAUGUUUCUUCCCUGUGAUCAUUGAUGAACGUUUUCUCACUUGCAAUUUCCUAUUGUUCUUCACAGCGGUAUAAAUCUCAAGUACCUGAAAAUAAUUAUGCUGAAUGGUACAGAAGAGUUAGAACAAUUUUCUUUCUCCUUUUUUUCUUUUUUUUUUUUUUAAUGCCUUCUUAAACAAGAACUGGCUGAAGGCAAAUAAUAUCAUCCCUGCAGAAUAUUACCUAACAAAACCAAAUGCCAUAAGCUUUGCACAAAGCUGAGGAAGACGCAGAGAAGGAUGGUGCUGGAACUUGCACCUUUCCUUUGCAGGUCAGAGGCUCCACUGCAAACCUGUCAUGAAACGUGACUUUUAGUACAAUUAUUCUGUUCAGUAUGAACAGUGCUUCCCAGAAUAAUAUAGCCCUUUUGAGGUUUACUCAUCAGUCAUAACUGUGAUGCUCUAGCAGAGAAUAAUUUUUAUUGCAUAAGGUGUUUAACAGCUGUCCCUUAAGUUUUUAGAGUAAAUUGUUCCCUGAGCAAGAAACUACUUAAACUUUUUUUUUUUAACAAAAUAUCUCUACUAAGUUGUAAGAUGGAUGUUUUCUUGAAGUUUGUGUGUUUAUGAAUGCACUCUGUCCUCAUACACGCUCUACAGUGAAAUUUCUGCUAACAACACAGCUCACCCUUUCUCAGAGAAAGCAAUAAGUUUUCUCAGCCUGGAUCAGCAGUUUCAUUAAACUUAAUGAGAUUGCUUAGGUAAUUUUUUUUUUAAUCUUUAAUUUUCUUCCAGAUGAGGAUUAAACUGGCCAAUGGUAUCGGGUUAUUACAGGUGAGGUAGACAGAUGCACAGCAACACUCACAUGAAUACAUAUGUAUGUGCUCAGGAAAAUCAUACAUGCUUCAUUUCCUUCUGUGCACAGAACAAAAGAGAUGUAAAACCUGAGCCAGUUAUGUAUGAACUGUUUGAAGCUGUGACUGCCGUGUUUUCACAGAUGUCGUAACACGAUUUCCAAGAAUACUUCUUAUUUUCAUUAAGAAUAAAGACCCAGACACAGAAGUAUGCA
ensembl:lncRNA